UUUGAGGCUCGUCCUGGGGGACAUUCAUUUGGCUGGACUUACUGUGGGUCUCACAAUUUCAGUCCAGCAGCAUGGGGGCAAGUCCUUUCUCCUCCCUCCAGAGCAAAUCCUAAUGAAGUCAGAGCAGCACCUCCUGGUCCAAGGCUGCACGUUUGUAACUAUGAGCUCGGCAUCAUACUCAUUUCUCCACCACCAGGCAAGUCAAAGCAAGCAAGUGAAAGUAAGCACAGGAUUGAGGGCAUCACCCUACCGUUUGUUGUGCCUCCGCCGCGAUAUAAGGGGAGUGAUAGGCCAGCGACUCGGUUGGCCAUGCGAGAGGCUGCGGCUGAAGCUUGUGUUCUGCAGAGUAACGAUGUUGUAGACUUGUCAGAUGAUACUGACGAAGAUGUGCCAGAUGAAGACGAUGAGCAGGAGGUCGAGCUGUCUGAUUGUUCUCAACAAGAGAAGGAAGAGGAGAAGAUUUACGCGGAGACGCUAUGGGGGCAGGUAGAUUCUUCUCAGAGCCAAGAAAAGGAUUAGUGAAGUUGGAGUUCGGUUCUUUAUGCAGUCUUGCAGAUUCAGUU
rnacentral:lncRNA from 1 species